UCAGGCCAAUCAGGAGUGGCUCUGACGUACACCCUGAGAGAGAUGAGAUGCCACUAGACCAGAUUCAUUUUCUCAGUUACACUUUAAUGGAAUCACUAGGAGUGCUAUAUGAAGAAGAGACUCUAAAGUCAGGGCAGAAGCAAGGAGGUGUUGGGAGGCUGUUGCAAUAGUUCCCAUCCUGGCCUGGACCGUCCCAGCUGGUGGCACUGGAGAUUUUGAGAAGUAGCUGUAUUCUAGAUGUAGUAGUUUGAAGGUACAGCCAACAAUACAUGCUGUCACUUUGGAUGUGACAGAGAAAGAGAGGGACCAAGAAUGACUCCAUAAUCUUGGCAGUGUUCUAUUGGGAGAAGUGCUGCUAUAGGUGUUACUGUCAGCUGACAGCCACGGACAAGGGGGACUUAUAUCUCUACCACAAACAGUCAUACUGCUGGGCAAAGUAAACUAAACAGCUGUUUUUAGACACUGUACAGAAACAACACAGGGUUUUGAAUCCCGACACAUGGAAACAAAUGAGAUGAGCACCAAAUCCAAACCAGAUUUCUCCCUGGGAGCAUUUUUCAGUCCAUGGCACAAGGACAUAGAGCCCAAGGAGACAGCAGCAGUCUUGCUGGGCAAAGAAAACAGAAAUUAGAAUUCAGAACUGCUACGGGGCUGGAGUUUAGAGGACAGGAAGUGAGAAAGACACUAUGAAGAGCAGAACCCCCCAAAAGAUCUGCCUAUGAAUCCCACUGAGUCUUUGGUCAAAUACAAAGCUGCUUAUGCACAGGGGACUGAGGCUCGGCAGAGAACAACUACUGGGAGACUGCGAGCUGAACAGAUUACAUAUAAGGGGGGUAUCAAUAAAAAUGAUCUCCACCUUCAUAUUAAAAAAUGCAAACCAGAAGACACUGGGAUGACAUAUUUAAAGUCCUCAAAGAAAAAAUACCCACUGAACUAGAAUUCAACAUCUCAGCAAAAAUAUCCUUUAAAGAGGAUCAACAAAAAGUUGAGAGAAUUUAUUACCAAUAGACCUGCGCUACAAGAACAGUAAAUAAAGUUUCUUAGGCUGAAGGGAAAUGAUACCAGAUGGAAAAUUGGAUCUACUAGUACACAAAGGAAUAAAGAGAGCUAGAAAAGUUGCAGGAGUGAAUCCUGUUACUGCAACAGAUGGUUUCUCUUCUAAUGCUGACCAGCACUUAAAAAAACAUAAAUGUUUUGCUUAUUGUCUUGAACUUCAACUUCAGUAUGUAAACACAACCCCAUUAAAGCAAACUGAAACUG